AAAGACCUKGGUGUUUUUCUGCUUAUUGUAUUUUAUUUUUCAUUGGUGUUUCUAGACUUGCAAGAGAUGGACAAUAUGGUGGAGGCAGCACUGAGAGGAGGCAAUGCCAAGAUUUGCUCUAGCUGRAUGAUUUAGAAAUGGUUUGAUGAGUGAUCUACAUCUGUGCUUGGUGGCUGGGGAAGUUCAUUGAUGCCUCUAUGCAUCUGGACCCGAUCUUGACAGGGAAAUACCCGUACUACUUAGCAGCAGGAGUGAUAAACAGAAUAGGACAUCAAAAUAGAACACACGACCUCAGGAUCCAUUUUUUUUCACACCACUUUGUGUAGCCAUGACCAAACCAGUCAGAUCAAGAC
ensembl:lncRNA